rnacentral:rRNA from 1 species
AGAUACCCUACUAUGCCCAACCGUAAAUACUGAUCCACCUCCGCCAGAGAAUAACGAGCUAAAGCUUAAAACUCAAAGGACUUGGCGGCGCUCUACACACCCUAGAGGGGCCUGUCACAUAAUCGAUAACCCACGAUAAACCUUACCACUUUUAACCACAUCAGCCUAUAUACCGCCGUCGUCAGCCCAUCUUGACAGAGAAACUAAUAAGCCCAAUAGUUUUAUCACACUAGAACGACAGGUCAAGGUGUAGCCUAUGAAGUGGCAAAUGAUGGACCACAUUGCUUACUAAAGCCAGACGAAACAGCCUGAAAGGGGUUUUAAGGUGAAUUUAACAGUAAAACGAACAAGAAAGUUCGUCUAAAGAUUGCUCUAGAGCGUGCACACACCGCCCGUCAC